rnacentral:rRNA from 1 species
UACGGAGGUGGCGAGCGUUGUCCGAAGUUACUGGGCGUAAAGCGCGCGUAGGCGGGGGAUUAAGUGAGAAGUGAAAGGCUGGGGCUCAACUCCAUGCAGUGCUUCUCAUACUGGUCUUCUUGAGGGGGGUAGAGAGAAGUGGAAUGGCUGGUGUAGCGGUGAAAUGCGUAGAUAUCGGGAGGAACACCUGUGGCGAAAGCGGCUCACUGGACCACAACUGACGCUGAGGCGCGAAAGCUAGGGGAGCAAACAGG